GAUGAACGCUGGCGGUGUGCCUUAGGCAUGCAAGUCGAACGGUCCGGUGUUUCACCGGACAGUGGCAGACGGGUGAGUAACGCGUAGGAAUCUACCCUUUGGUGUGGAAUAGCCCUGCGAAAGCGGGGGUAAUACCGCAUAAGAUCUUCGGAUGAAAGACCGUAACUGGUCGCCGAAAGAGGAGCCUGCGUCCUAUCAGCUUGUUGGUGAGGUAAUGGCUCACCAAGGCUAUGACGGGUAGGGGGCGUGAGAGCGUGAUCCCCCACAAGGUCACUGAGACACGGGGCCUACACCUACGGGUGGCAGCAACCGGGAAUAUUGCGCAAUGGGCGAAAGCCUGACGCAGCGACACCGCGUGGAGGAAGAAGUCUUAUAUGAUGUAAACUCCUUUUGCGAGGGAAGAAGAUCUGACGGUACCUCGCGAAUAAGGACCUGCAAACUACGUGCCAGCAGCCGCGGUAAUACGUAGGGUCCAAGCAUUAUCCGGAAUUACUGGGCGUAAAGUGUUCCGUAGGCGGUUUGAUAAGUAUACUGUUAAAGACCGAGGCUCAACUUCGGAAAAGCAGUGUAAACUAUCAAGCUUGAGGAAGUUAGGGAGUGCUGGAAUUCAUGGUGGAGGGGUGAAAUCCGUUGAUAUCAUGAAGAACACCGAGGGCGAAGGCAAGCACUUGGGACUUUCCUGACGCUGAGGGACGAAAGCUAGGGGAGCGAAAGGGAUUAGAGACCCCUGUAGUCCUAGCCGUAAACGAUCCUUACUAGAUGGUUGGAUUUAUCUGGCUGUCGUAAGCUAACGCGUUAAGUGAAGCGCCUGGGUAGUACGACCGCAAGGUUAAAACUCAAAGGAAUUGACGGGGGAGCGCACAACCAGUGGAGCAUGUGGUUCAAUUCGAUACGAAGCGUAGAACCUUACCUGGGUUUGACAUGACUCUGCACGAUCGGGGAAACUAGAUUUCUUUCGAAGGUGUGUCACAGGUGGUGCAUGGCUGUCGUCAGCUCGUGUCGUGAGAUGUCUGCUUAAGUGCAGUAACGAGCGCAACCCUUGCCGUAUGUUGAAUGUUCAUACGGGACUGCCGUGCUGCAAGCACGGAGGAAGGAGAGGACGACGUCAAGUCAGCAUGUCCCUUACAUCCAGGGCGACACACAUCCUACAAUGGGGAAGACAACGGGUAGCGACGGAGCGAUCCUGAGCUAAUCCUUUAAAUCUCCUCUCAGUUCGGAUUGCAGGCUGAAAUUCGCCUGCAUGAAGCCGGAAUUGGUAGUAAUCGCGGGUCAGCAGACCGCGGUGAAUGCGUUCUCUCUUCUUGUACACACUGCCCGUCAAGCCAGCGAAGCUGGCAGCGCCCGAAGUUCCCCGUUUAGCGGGGGCCUAAGGCGAGGUCAGUGAC
rnacentral:rRNA from 1 species